CACGUGGGGUGCGAGCGUUGUCCGGAAUUAUUGGGCGUAAAGAGCUCGUAGGCGGUGUGUCGCGUCGGCCGUGAAAACCUGUAGCUUAACUGUGGGCUUGCGGUCGAUACGGGCAUCACUGGAGUUCGGCAGGGGAGACUGGAAUUCCUGGUGUAGCGGUGAAAUGCGCAGAUAUCAGGAGGAACACCGGUGGCGAAGGCGGGUCUCUGGGCCGAUACUGACGCUGAGGAGCGAAAGCGUGGGGAGCGAACAGG
rnacentral:rRNA from 1 species